AUUGAACGCUGGCGGCAUGCCUUACACAUGCAAGUCGAACGGUAACGGGCCUUCGGGUGCCGACGAGUGGCGAACGGGUGAGUAAUGUAUCGGAACGUACCUUUAAGUGGGGGAUAACGUAGCGAAAGUUAAGCUAAUACCGCAUAUUCUGUGAGCAGGAAAGCAGGGGAUCGCAAGACCUUGCGCUGAUUGAGCGGCCGAUGUCAGAUUAGCUAGUUGGUGAGGUAAAGGCUCACCAAGGCGACGAUCUGUAGCGGGUCUGGGAGGAUGAUCCGCCACACUGGAACUGAGACACGGUCAGGACUCCUACGGGAGGCAGCAGUGGGGAAUUUUGGACAAUGGGGGCAACCCUGAUCCAGCCAUGCCGCGUGAGUGAAGAAGGCCUUCGGGUUGUAAAGCUCUUUCGGCCGGGAAGAAAUCGUAUCAGCUAAUACCUGGUGCGGAUGACGGUACCGGCAUAAGAAGCACCGGCUAACUACGUGCCAGCCGCCGCCGUAAAAC
rnacentral:rRNA from 1 species